rnacentral:rRNA from 1 species
UACGAAGGGGGCAAGCGUUGUUCGGAAUGACUGGGCGUAAAGGGCGCGUAGGCGGUUCGUUGCGUCAGGCGUGAAAGCCCCGGGCUCAACCUGGGAACCGCGCUUGAGACUGGCACGCUCGAGUUCGGGAGAGGAUGGUGGAAUUCCCAGUGUAGAGGUGAAAUUCGUAGAUAUUGGGAAGAACACCGAUGGCGAAGGCAGCCAUCUGGACCGACACUGACGCUGAGGCGCGAAAGCGUGGGGAGCAAACAGG